rnacentral:misc_RNA from 1 species
UUCAUCACCAAAGGAUGCAGUACUAGAACUCAAGCAGGU